rnacentral:lncRNA from 1 species
GCUGCGUCAUACUCUAUCUCAGAACGAUACCGAUUGUUCCAACACCUUUGACCCGGUUAUCAAUGGUUUCUAUAAGAUAAUUGAUUUCUUAACACGUCUUGCAUCUUGAUUACCACACCAGUUACCUUGUAUAGGUUAUAACUGCUUACCAAAGACCAAUGAUUGCUUGCCUAAGGUCAACAUCUAUCUCUCAAAAGAGUAAGUACAAUACGCUACAUGCUGAGUGCUGAGUGUUGGGUGUUGAGUGUUGAUGCUCCCAACCAAAGUCCAAGUUCCAUCUGCUAAUGGAUGUAUGCCAGCCAUGGGUUAAAUAUAACCCAUUUAACCUGGUGUCGCCUACCGACAUCUAGCUACGCCCUUAAGAUAUUGAUGAACAAUGUAACUUAGCCAAAAGUGGCUAUACAUCACCAGAGAUAAGGGUUCACAGUUAUUAAAGUAUUGAUAUAAAUACAACAUUAAUUAGGUUUUGACUUUUACUUUUUCCAUUAAUCAUUAUUUUGACUAUUCUUUGAUUCUAAGAAUUGGCUUGAAAGUCCAAGAAUCUUUUGCAGACACACACCCAUUCAUUUUGUACAGGACGAGUAUCGGGAC